rnacentral:rRNA from 1 species
AUUGAACGCUGGCGGCAAGCCUAACACAUGCAAGUCGAACGAGUGGCGGACGGGCGAGUAAUGUCUGGGCAACUGCCUGAUGGCCGGGUAUAACUAAUGGAAACCUUAGCUAAUACCGCAUAACAUCCUAUGUGCCCAGAUGGGAUUAGCUAGUAGGUGGGGUAAAGGCUCACCUAGGCGACGAUACCUAGCUGGUCUGCGAGGAUGACCAGCCACACUGGAACUGAGACACGGUCCAGAAUCCUACGGGAGGCAGCAGUGGGGAAUAUUGCACAAUGGGCGAAAGCCUGAUGCAGCCAUGCCGCGUGUAUGAAGAAGGCCUUCGGGUUGUAAAGUACUUUCAGCGGGGAGGCGUUACCCGAAGAAGAAGCACCGGCUAACUCCGUGCCAGCAGCCGCGGUAAUUC